rnacentral:misc_RNA from 1 species
GAUGAAGAACGCAGCGAAAUGCGAUAAGUAAUGUGAAUUGCAGAAUUCAGUGAAUCAUCGAAUCUUUGAACGCACAUUGCGCCCCUUGGUAUUCCGAGGGGCAUGUCUGUUCGAGCGUCAUUAUAACCCCUCAAGCUUAGCUUGGUGUUGGGGCCUGCUGUAAUAGAGCAGCCCUUAAAAUCAGUGGCGGUGCCAUUAGGCUCUAAGCGUAGUAAUUCUUCUCGCUAUAGGGUUCUGGUGGAUGCUUGCCAUUAACCUCUAAUUUUCUAUGGUUGACCUCGGAUCAGGUAGGGAUACCCGCUGAACUUAAGCAUAUCAAUAAGCGGAGGA